UACGAAGGGGGCUAGCGUUGCGCGGAAUCACUGGGCGUAAAGGGUGCGUAGGCGGGUUUUUAAGUCAGGGGUGAAAUCCUGGAGCUCAACUCCAGAACUGCCUUUGAUACUGAAGAUCUUGAGUCCGGGAGAGGUGAGUGGAACUGCGAGUGUAGAGGUGAAAUUCGUAGAUAUUCGCAAGAACACCAGUGGCGAAGGCGGCUCACUGGCCCGAGACUGACGCUGAGGCACGAAAGCGUGGGGAGCAAACAGG
rnacentral:rRNA from 1 species